GAUGAACGCUGGCGGCGUGCCUAAUACAUGCAAGUCGAGCGAACGGACGAGAAGCUUGCUUUUCUGAUGUUAGCGGCGGACGGGUGAGUAACACGUGGAUAACCUACCUAUAAGACUGGGAUAACUUCGGGAAACCGGAGCUAAUACCGGAUAAUAUUUUGAACCGCAUGGUUCAAAAGUGAAAGACGGUCUUGCUGUCACUUAUAGAUGGAUCCGCGCUGCAUUAGCUAGUUGGUAAGGUAACGGCUUACCAAGGCAACGAUGCAUAGCCGACCUGAGAGGGUGACCGGCCCCACUGGACGGGAGACCCGGUCCCGACUCCUACGGGGGCCAGACGGGGGGACUCUCCCGCAGUGGGCAAAAGCGUGAAGGGGCAACCCCGCGUGGGUGAAAAGGGUCUUCGGGUCAUAAAACUCUUUUUUUGGGGAAAAACAUUUGUUUAAGAAACUGUGCCCCUCUUGGCGGUCCCUAAAAAAAAACCCCCGGCUUACCCG
rnacentral:rRNA from 1 species